rnacentral:rRNA from 3 species
UUAAGCGACUAAGCGUACACGGUGGAUGCCCUGGCAGUCAGAGGCGAUGAAGGGCGUGCUAAUCUGCGAUAAGCGCCGGUAAGGUGAUAUGAACCGUUAUAACCGGCGAUACCCGAAUGGGGAAACCCAGUGUGAUUCGUCACACUAUCAUUAACUGAAUCCAUAGGUUAAUGAGGCGAACCGGGGGAACUGAAACAUCUAAGUACCCCGAGGAAAAGAAAUCAACCGAGAUUCCCCCAGUAGCGGCGAGCGAACGGGGAGGAGCCCAGAGCCUGAAUCAGCAUGUGUGUUAGUGGAAGCGUCUGGAAAGGCGCGCGAUACAGGGUGACAGCCCCGUACACAAAAGCGCAUGUGCUGUGAGCUCGAUGAGUAGGGCGGGACACGUGGUAUCCUGUCUGAAUAUGGGGGGACCAUCCUCCAAGGCUAAAUACUCCUGACUGACCGAUAGUGAACCAGUACCGUGAGGGAAAGGCGAAAAGAACCCCGGCGAGGGGAGUGAAAAAGAACCUGAAACCGUGUACGUACAAGCAGUGGGAGCCCCACCACUAAGCCAGUGGUGAACUCCACAUCCGCAUCCUUUGCUGAGGAUACGGUUAACGGAGCGAAAGCGACGUUCAACCGCAAAACAAGCAGAGGGGGCUUAGUGGUGGGGUGACUGCGUACCUUUUGUAUAAUGGGUCAGCGACUUAUAUUCUGUAGCAAGGUUAACCGAAUAGGGGAGCCGGAGGGAAACCGAGUCUUAAUUGGGCGUUAAGUUGCAGGGUAUAGACCCGAAACCCGGUGAUCUAGCCAUGGGCAGGUUGAAGGUUGGGUAACACUAACUGGAGGACCGAACCGACUAAUGUUGAAAAAUUAGCGGAUGACCUGUGGCUGGGGGUGAAAGGCCAAUCAAACCGGGAGAUAGCUGGUUCUCCCCGAAAGCUAUUUAGGUAGCGCCUCGUGAAUUCAUCUCCGGGGGUAGAGCACUGUUUCGGCUAGGGGGCCAUCCCGGCUUACCAACCCGAUGCAAACUGCGAAUACCGGAGAAUGUUAUCACGGGAGACACACGGCGGGUGCUAACGUCCGUCGUGAAGAGGGAAACAACCCAGACCGCCAGCUAAGGUCCCAAAGUCAUGGUUAAGUGGGAAACGAUGUGGGAAGGCCCAGACAGCCAGGAUGUUGGCUUAGAAGCAGCCAUCAUUUAAAGAAAGCGUAAUAGCUCACUGGUCGAGUCGGCCUGCGCGGAAGAUGUAACGGGGCUAAACCAUGCACCGAAGCUGCGGCAGCGAACGUAUCACCCAAGACAACUUUACGGAGUUGACGAUUGACGGAGCGAAGCGACGUCAAAGCGUUCAUUAAAGUCGAGUUGGCUUAGGGAUACGUUCGUUGGGUAGGGGAGCGUUCUGUAAGCCUGUGAAGGUGUGUCGUGAGGCAUGCUGGAGGUAUCAGAAGUGCGAAUGCUGACAUAAGUAACGAUAAAGCGGGUGAAAAGCCCGCUCGCCGGAAGACCAAGGGUUCCUGUCCAACGUUAAUCGGGGCAGGGUGAGUCGACCCCUAAGGCGAGGCCGAAAGGCGUAGUCGAUGGGAAACGGGUUAAUAUUCCCGUACUUGGUGUUACUGCGAAGGGGGGACGGAGAAGGCUAUGUUGGCCGGGCGACGGUUGUCCCGGUUUAAGCGUGUAGGUGUGUGUUCCAGGUAAAUCCGGUUCACUUUAACACUGAGGCGUGACGACGAGGCACUACGGUGCUGAAGCAACAAAUGCCCUGCUUCCAGGAAAAGCCUCUAAGCAUCAGGUAACACGAAAUCGUACCCCAAACCGACACAGGUGGUCAGGUAGAGAAUACCAAGGCGCUUGAGAGAACUCGGGUGAAGGAACUAGGCAAAAUGGUGCCGUAACUUCGGGAGAAGGCACGCUGACACGUAGGUGAAGUGAUUUACUCAUGGAGCUGAAGUCAGUCGAAGAUACCAGCUGGCUGCAACUGUUUAUUAAAAACACAGCACUGUGCAAACACGAAAGUGGACGUAUACGGUGUGACGCCUGCCCGGUGCCGGAAGGUUAAUUGAUGGGGUCAGCGCAAGCGAAGCUCCUGAUCGAAGCCCCGGUAAACGGCGGCCGUAACUAUAACGGUCCUAAGGUAGCGAAAUUCCUUGUCGGGUAAGUUCCGACCUGCACGAAUGGCGUAAUGAUGGCCAGGCUGUCUCCACCCGAGACUCAGUGAAAUUGAACUCGCUGUGAAGAUGCAGUGUACCCGCGGCAAGACGGAAAGACCCCGUGAACCUUUACUAUAGCUUGACACUGAACAUUGAGCCUUGAUGUGUAGGAUAGGUGGGAGGCUUUGAAGUGUGGACGCCAGUCUGCAUGGAGCCGACCUUGAAAUACCACCCUUUAAUGUUUGAUGUUCUAACGUGGACCCGUAAUCCGGGUUGCGGACAGUGUCUGGUGGGUAGUUUGACUGGGGCGGUCUCCUCCUAAAGAGUAACGGAGGAGCACGAAGGUUGGCUAAUCCUGGUCGGACAUCAGGAGGUUAGUGCAAUGGCAUAAGCCAGCUUGACUGCGAGCGUGACGGCGCGAGCAGGUGCGAAAGCAGGUCAUAGUGAUCCGGUGGUUCUGAAUGGAAGGGCCAUCGCUCAACGGAUAAAAGGUACUCCGGGGAUAACAGGCUGAUACCGCCCAAGAGUUCAUAUCGACGGCGGUGUUUGGCACCUCGAUGUCGGCUCAUCACAUCCUGGGGCUGAAGUAGGUCCCAAGGGUAUGGCUGUUCGCCAUUUAAAGUGGUACGCGAGCUGGGUUUAGAACGUCGUGAGACAGUUCGGUCCCUAUCUGCCGUGGGCGCUGGAGAACUGAGGGGGGCUGCUCCUAGUACGAGAGGACCGGAGUGGACGCAUCACUGGUGUUCGGGUUGUCAUGCCAAUGGCACUGCCCGGUAGCUAAAUGCGGAAGAGAUAAGUGCUGAAAGCAUCUAAGCACGAAACUUGCCCCGAGAUGAGUUCUCCCUGAGACUUAGAGUCUCCUGAAGGAACGUUGAAGACGACGACGUUGAUAGGCCGGGUGUGUAAGCGCAGCGAUGCGUUGAGCUAACCGGUACUAAUGAACCGUGAGGCUUAACCUU